rnacentral:rRNA from 1 species
CUACGGGUCGCUCCAGUGGGGAAUAUUGGACAAUGGGGGAAACCCUGAUCCAGCAAUGCCGCGUGUGUGAAGAAGGCCUGCGGGUUGUAAAGCACUUUCGGUUGGGAGGACUGCUUCUAGCACUAAUAUUGUUGGAAGUUGACGUUACCUUCAGAAGAAGCACCGGCUAACUCCGUGCCAGCAGCCGCGGUAAUACGGAGGGUGGAAGCGUUAAUCGGAAUUACUGGGCGUAAAGCGCGCGUAGGCGGCUAGAUCAGUCGGGUGUGAAAGCCCCGGGCUUAACCUGGGAACUGCAUCUGAUACUGUCUAGCUUGAGUACAGGAGAGGAGAGUGGAAUUCCACAUGUAGCGGUGAAAUGCGUAGAUAUGUGGAGGAACACCAAUGGCGAAGGCAGCUCUCUGGCCUGAUACUGACGCUGAGGUGCGAAAGCGUGGGGAGCAAACAGGAUUAGAUACCCGAGUAGUC